AUUGAACGCUGGCGGCAUGCUUUACACAUGCAAGUCGAACGGUAACAGGCCGCAAGGUGCUGACGAGUGGCGAACGGGUGAGUAAUGCAUCGGAACGUGCCCAGCCGUGGGGGAUAACUACUCGAAAGAGUAGCUAAUACCGCAUACGAUCUAUGGAUGAAAGCGGGGGACCGUAGGCCUCGCGCGAUUGGAGCGGCCGAUGUCAGAUUAGGUAGUUGGUGGGGUAAAGGCUCACCAAGCCAACGAUCUGUAGCUGGUCUGAGAGGACGACCAGCCACACUGGGACUGAGACACGGCCCAGACUCCUACGGGAGGCAGCAGUGGGGAAUUUUGGACAAUGGGCGCAAGCCUGAUCCAGCAAUGCCGCGUGCAGGAAGAAGGCCUUCGGGUUGUAAACUGCUUUUGUACGGAACGAAACGGCUCUGGUUAAUACCCGGGGCUAAUGACGGUACCGUAAGAAUAAGCACCGGCUAACUACGUG
rnacentral:rRNA from 1 species